CUCAUUUUCGCCACGAGAGGAUGAAGCUGUGGGUGGACGAAAGAAGAGAACAUUCCCGAUAAUGAAAACCCCUUCUUCAUCUUCAUCUUCUUCUAAUUCUGCUUCUUCGACCUUCAACUUCUUACUGGAGGAGAAAAGGGAAAACGGGUCGAUUCCCGUGAAAGCUAUCGACAUGGCGUGACGGACAUGGACAGCCUGCAGAUCAAUCGUAUGUCUCGCGUCUUGCCAUUAGAUCAAUCACAGCAUGUUGGUACCGUCACGCUUCAUCGUCAUGUGUUUAGGUCACAGCCUAGCGAAGAAUCAGCGGUGCGUGGUGCAUGUAUAAAUAUCGCGAGCUAUUGUUGCUCCUAGAGCUAGCUAGCACAUGGACAAAAGCGACUUGGCCUCGGUGAAGGCGACGCGGAAUGAUAGUGGAACUCGUGAGUCGUAGCCAAAGGCCCAAAGCUGUUGUGUCAUAUAUAUAGAGUUACAUGUAUCAGUUGAGGAGGCCAUGAUCCAAAUUGAGAAA